CUACGGGGUGCUGCAGCUGAGGAUCUUUUACAAUGCACGAAAGUGUGAUAGAGCGAGCCAGAGUGUUGUUCUUAGAACAACUUUUAUCUGCUGUAAAAAGGCAGAUGAAUAAGGACUGGGUAAGACCGGUGCCAGCCGCCGCGGUAAUACCGGCGGUCCAAGUUGCAUCCAUUUUUAUUGGGUCUAAAACAUCCGUAGCUUGCUUUGUAAGUUUCUUGUGAAAUCUCAUGUCUCAAACAUGAGGCUUGCAAGAAAUACUGCAUAGCUAGAGACCGGAAGACGUAAGGAGUAUGAUUGAGGUAGCGGUAAAAUGUGUUAAUCUUGAUCAGACUAACAACGGCGAAGGCACCUUACGAGUACGGAUCUGACAGUGAGGGAUGAAGGCCAGGGGCGCAAAACGGAUUAGAUACCCUAGUAGUC
rnacentral:rRNA from 1 species